CUCGGCCGCAGCCAUGAUGCCAUCGUCGUCGCCGCUGGAGGGCUGCUUGCUGCUGCCUCCUGGCUGCGGUGUGGCCGAGUUGCUGUUCUUGACACUGGUUUCCUCGGCCACUAGCCGCCGCCAGGAAUGUCAGCUCCGGCUGUCUGCACCACACCUGCCUGUUUAAGAAGAGGAGCUGGCGUCAAGCUAAACAUGGACACAAGCGUCGACCCGUGCGAUAACUUCUAUAAGUUUGCCUGCGGUGGGUGGACAUCGAGGGAAGAGGUGCCCAAGUACGCCUCAGUGUACGGCACAUUCCAAGCGCUCAACAAAGCGGUGAUGUACAACAUGUCACAUCUUCUGUCGCGGUCCUACGACAGCCCUGAAUGGAUCGAGACUUCCUUGUACAAAGGCCACUCUGGCUGCAUGCUCGGGGGUAACGACGUAGGCAGGGACAACGAAGACGCUUGGAACAAGAUAAUGCUGACAAUUGGAGUCGAGGAGUGGCCCAACGGUCCGGGUGACGUAACGAUCCCGCUGUGGAGUAAGCUGCUCGGCGACCUGAUGACCAAAUUCAACCACAAGCCAGUCGUCUACAUCGACGUGAAGCGGAACCGCGUCGUGAAGAAAAAUAUCAUACACGUUAAACCUGGCUCGCUACCUGUAAAAAGAGAAUACUUGGCCUCAUCUUACUAUAAGAGACAUAUGCUUGCUGUUAUACAACGCAUCAACACGACCACCCUAGACGACCAACGGCUCCUUCACGCUGUGGAUGAGAUGGUGGGGUUUGAAAAGAACUUGGCUGAGAUAUUGUCCAAGCAAAGCAACGAAACUGAAUCAACCUUUGUUAGCGUCACGGAGCUCGAGAAUGACGUCGAUUUGAGACGGUCAGUGGUUGACACCUUUCUGAUACUGGACAACAUAUUCAAAGCGGCCAAAUCUGAAGUGUACCGAAACGAUUCGGUGCUCGUGACAGAACCGGCCAAGGUCCGCGCUCUGCUUAAGGCCUGCGGCGAAUGGGAAAAGCACAUCGUUUCAAAUGUGCUGGUCUGGCAUGCGUUGCAAACGGUGGGCAAGGAUGUGAUACCCAGCAUCCAUGAAAUGAACGCUGCCUUCAAGAGCAAGGUUCGGAACGCGCCGCAGGACAGCCCGCCGCAGACUAUGGUUUGCAACACCGCCCUGGCAAAUGCGGCGUCGUCGGCAUACAGCUUGUUCUACAUCCGUAACUUCUUCAACAAUGCAAGCCUGCCCCUCGUCCAGGAAAUGAUCAACUUUGAGCAGCACAUAUUUUACGAAGAGAUGAAAAGCAGCAAGUGGAUGAGCCGCGAAACGAAAGCUCAAGGUCUGUCAAAGCUUGCCAAGAUGAAGGCUGUGGUUGGUUAUCCUAAGUGGAUCGCGGAUGAAAGAAAAGUCGCCUUGUUCACACCAAGUGCUAAGCACGUAAAAGAAGACCAGUUCGUGUACUACUACUCUGAAUGCGCGCAGCGCCACAUAGAAAACAAGCUACGCAGCUUACGUGGGCCGGUCGACCCGGACGAAAGUUUCGGCCAGUCAUUCAACGCGGCCAUGGUGAACGCCUAUUACGCGCUGACGGACAACAAAAUGGUCAUUCCAGCAGGAAUUCUGCAAGAACCUUUCUUUGACCCCGGACUGCCAAAGGCGGAAGUACGACGCGUACGGUGCACUGCACAACUGGUGGUCACCAAAGACGGAAGCAAUAUUUCGCAAGAAAUCCCAGUGCUUCGUGGAUCAGUACGGAAACAUCACAGAUGCCGUCACUCAUAUGAAGCUUCCGUCUACUCACACGCUUGCCGAGGACAUCUCCGACAAUGCGGCCGCUCGUCUUAGUUUCUUGGCGCACCUGAAGCUGAAGGAGACAGAAAAGCAGGAGAUGCAACUGCUUCCCGGUCUUGAGUCCUACACUCCUGAGCAACUUCACUUCAUCAGUGCAGCGCAGCCGUGGUGCAAGAAGUAUGAUCCGGAUUUGAAGAAGUUCG
rnacentral:misc_RNA from 1 species